UUGGCGGACGGGUGAGUAACGCGUGGGUAACCUGCCUUAUACAGGGGGAUAACAGUUAGAAAUGGCUGCUAAUACCGCAUAAGACCACAGUACUGCAUGGUACAGUGGUAAAAACUCCGGUGGUAUGAGAUGGACCCGCGUCUGAUUAGGUAGUUGGUGAGGUAACGGCCUACCAAGCCGACGAUCAGUAGCCGACCUGAGAGGGUGACCGGCCACAUUGGGACUGAGACACGGCCCAA
rnacentral:rRNA from 1 species